GGAACAGGGGCGGAGCAAGGCGGAGCUCUUAGAAGGAGGGCGCUGGUCACCCAGGGCCACUGAUGCAGCGAAGGUUGGGAGAGGUUGCAGCCACGCUCGGGAUGUGGUGGCUGGGGACAGCAGUGGCUUUCAGAGAGCUGCAGGCAUGGGAGCCAGACUGAGAGGGAUUCACCAACGAGCGGGUGUGAGGAAGCCGAGAAAAUUGUGGUGAUGAAGCAUGGUGGUGAGCCGAGGAAGUGGUUGAGAUGGUCACAAAGACAAGAACUUCAAGAAACUCCCCGUGCGAGUUCUCAUUGCGGCGCAGCGGAAAGGAAUCUAACUAGUAUCCAUGAGGAUGUGGGUUCGAUCCCUGCCCUUGCUCAGUGGGUUAAGGAUCCGGCGUUGCUGUGAGCUGUGGUGUAGGUCGCAGGCGCGGCUCGGAUCCUGCAUGGCUGUGGCUCUGGCGUAGGCUGGCCGCUACAGCUCCGAUUGGACCCCUAGCUUGGGAACUUCCAUGUGCUGCAGGUGCAGCCCUACAAAGCCAAAGAUAAAAUAAAGUAAAAAUAAAAAAGAAGAAUAAGAAGCAGAAGAAGCUCCCUGCAUAACCACGCUUUGAAUACCUAUCUUCUGAGGGUAAAAAUACGCUGAGCUUAGUGUGCAACCCUUUGGAAAGAAUUGGGGCAGAGCAUUUAAGAAAAAGUUCCAAGCCAGUGUUUUUCAGGUUGCAGAUUUAUGUGUGGGGUAUACUAACCCUCUUCUAGAAAUUUCAGAAUUUGCUUUCACUUCAGUGGUCAUCUUUAAAAAAUGAAUACAACCAUAUUGUGUCAAAUACAGCUUCUGCAUGGCUAUAUUGAUGCCGUCAAGGGCCACCAUACAGUCUUUUGACCCUUGGAUAGCGGUGGGGACUGAGGCACUGCCAGGCAUGCAAGAAACAGCAUUCAUCUCAGUCGAAAUGAAUUCUUACCCCUCCAGGUAGAAGUGACCAGAAGCUUGGAGCGUGGGUGGGUGAAGGAUGUUAACUGCAUAGGACGUAGCAUCCAUGUGGGCUGCUUGGAUGAUCAGCCUUGGGGCCAGGGAAUCCAGGAUGUUGGGCCCUGGUGGAGUUUCUUUCAUGGCUACCCUAGUCCUGGGCUCACUGUGCAAACACCACGGGGGCUGAGGAUGGAGGCUGAUGCCCUCCGUUGGAAGGGUGGGCUCGUUCACCUGGUGGACCAGUGCCUCCCCCAUGGUGGAAGUGCUCUGGAGAGCGCUGAUAAUAGACACUGAGACCCGCCCUUUCCCCGGACCUCUUUGUCCCUGAUUUUCCAAUUUCUUUCACUCCAGGCCACCUGGGGAAUUCAGGGGUACAAGGGAAGGCAUGUAACAUUUAUUUAUUGUCUUUCUUUUUUUUAGGGCC
rnacentral:lncRNA from 9 species